rnacentral:tRNA from 1 species
GCGCCAAUAGUUUAGCCUGGUAGAAUCGGAGCUUCCCAAGCUUCUGGCCCGGGUUCAAAUCCCGGUUGGCGCA